AAACCUACGGGAGGCAGCAGUGGGGAAUAUUGCACAAUGGGGGAAACCCUGAUGCAGCAACGCCGCGUGAAGGAAGACGGUUUUCGGAUUGUAAACUUCUGUUCUUAGGGAAGAAUAAUGGCGGUAGCUAAGGAGCAAGCCACGGCUAACUACGUGCCAGCAGCCGCGGUAAUACGUAGGUGGCAAGCGUUGUCCGGAAUUACUGGGUGUAAAGGGAGCGCAGGCGGGAAGUCAACUCAGCUGUGAAAACUAGGGGCUUAACCUGUCGACUGCAG
rnacentral:rRNA from 1 species